rnacentral:rRNA from 1 species
UACGAAUGGGGCAAGCGUUGUUCGGAAUCACUGGGCUUAAAGCGUGCGCAGGCGGCCAAGCAAGUCAGGAGUGAAAUCCCCGGGCUCAACCCGGGAAUUGCUUUUGAAACUGCAUGGCUAGAAUCCCGGAGAGGUUAACAGAAUUCCGAGUGUAGAGGUGAAAUUCGCAGAUAUUCGGAGGAAUAUCAGUGGCGUAAGCGGUUAACUGGACGGGCAUUGACGCUCAGGCACGAAAGCGUGGGUAGCAAACAGGAUUAGAAACCCGGGUAGU